AUUGAACGCUGGCGGCAGGCCUAACACAUGCAAGUCGAGCGAGCGGCGGACGGGUGAGUAAUGUAUGGGGACUGCCCGAUAGAGGGGGAUAACUACUGGAAACGGUGGCUAAUACCGCAUACUAUCGGAUAACCCAUAUGGGAUUAGCUAGUAGGUGGGGGAAAGGCUCACCUGGGCGACGAUCUCUAGCUGGUCUGAGAGGAUGAUCAGCCACACGGGAACUGAGAAACGGCCCAGACUACUACGGAGGCAGCAGUGGGGAAUAUUGCACAAUGGGCGCAAGCCUGAUGCAGCCAUGCCGCGGGUAUGAAGAAGGCCGUAGGGGUGUAAAGUACUUUCAGCGGGGAGGCGUUGCCCGCAGAAGAAGCACCGGCUAACUCCGAGCCAGCCGCCGCGGUAAUAC
rnacentral:rRNA from 1 species